AUGUAAAUGUAAUUCCUUAUAUAGACUGCAGCAGUUGGUCACACACGCACGGAGAACGGAGCGGGGGCCCCCGGCCAAACCGUUACCACCCAUUAUUAUACAAACAGUGCUCGGCCGGAACCUUGUUGCCAGGGGAGACGGGCGCUUUACGGCAGGACGUUUGAACGGCGGCGGGGGAAAAGUUGCGGCCGCAGGUCUGACCCGGGAACAAACCGCGGCGAGAGAGUGAUGCUGUUCCGCCGUCUGCGAAAUCUGCCCUCCUUGGGCUUUAUCCUACGUCCCGCUUAAACCGAGAGAAGAGGUUGGAGCACAUCUCCUCGUCUCAUGGAAGCAGCAGAACAUGUCUCGAGGAAGUGAACUAGUGAACACUGGCACUUGGUGGAAGUACUUUGCAUCUGAAGCUCCCCUGGAAGUCAGUACAGUCAGAAAUGCUCAAGAAAGAGGUGUAGGGCUGAAGUGGAUGCAGAGUUAGGUAAAAAGAUCUAGAGGGAUUUUUUCAAAUUGGAUUGCACUCUUCAGAAAUGUACAUGGGCUGUGGAUUUGGGUACUCACAUUAAAACAGUUGUUGCCCUUCUUUACAAGUACAAAUGAUUUGUCUAAUAUUUCUCAAAACUGGUAAAUUUAAGUGGUGUUUUUACAGAUGUCUCUUUACGCUGUGUGGUUUGGCUGCUGACUUCAAUAAUUUAAUGAGGAUCUACCUGAGAGUUGUUAAGGUGCUUUGGAAUUCAUGGAUGUUUUUAUCAUUCUGUGGAUAAAUUUAACCAAAAUAUCGUGUACAAGUUUUCAUGCUAGGCUUUCAGUUCCUGAAAAUUUGUCAUGUUUUAGGAAGUAGUUGCAAAAAUAAAAAUUAUAAUGCAUCUGUAAAUGUAUUUGUAGAUUUGUAACAAAAGUCCCCUGCAUGCUGCUGCAGAUUACCAAGUAGCUUUGUUUUCUUUGAGUUUUGUCAGUUUUCACCUCUGGAUAAGAAUUCUUGUCUGCUCAUUUUGAGAAAAAUACGUUUCCUUACAGAAUGAGGGGAGAAACAGUCUCCUGGUGUUAUUGCUCUUUUUUUGCACUUGAAUCUCUUGAGGUUUCCAAGCAGUUAGGAGAAACUGGUGACAACUCUUGCUGUCCAUUAGUUUCUGAAGAGCAGAACUGGAACUGCCAGGAACAUUGCUGGCUCUACCCAGCUAUAGCUUUGAUAAAUGAGAAGAGAAAAUCCAAGCAGUCUUUGUAUAUGAUAAUUUCAAUACGAAGGAAGUUUAUAAACCAAAAAAGCAGAGGAUAGUGUUUCGCAACAAUUACUGAUCACUAUUCAUUGUGGAAAGCAUCUCAUUGUCAACUUCCAAAUAGAUAUGUGGAUGGGUUGGGGUAUUUUUUGUUGAUUGUAGUGGGUUUUUUUUAAAUUUCAUAUAUUUAAUCCAAGCAACUGGUCACUUCAUAUCUUUGUGUGCAAAGUUCCCAUUAGUUACUCUGCUAAAAGGCAUCAUAAUUGAGGAUGCAGCCACUGUCAAAGUGUUUGGGCCUAAUGCAUUCUUCUAAUCCUGGAUGCAAACCCACCAGUUAAAAUUCUUGCUCUUCAAUAUACGAGCACAUUAUAUAUGUAAUUUAAACUGCUUUGUGCCACUACUAAGCAUAGUAAAAUCCUGACUUUUCAGUCAAGGAUGCAGGAAUUAAUCAAUGUACUAUUUUGCAGAGUCUCAGCAAAGCAGUGUAUUUUCUGCAUCCUCUUAAAUGUGACAAGCUUAACAAUAUGUUUCUUGAAAGGAGGAACUUUUAAGACAGUGGUCACCCGUAACAACUGGUUUGUAUUUAAUGACAGAACUUGUAUGGGAAUUUAGGCAACCUAAAUAGGCACAAUGUCAUUUAAAUGUCAGAUUGCAUAGAUGCAAUCACCUUAUUUGAAAUUUAUUUCCAUUUGCCUGAAGGCGGGAAUUAAAAUACUUCAAUAGUCACACUGGAGCCUGUAUGCUCAAAACCAGAUAAUGAUUAUUACAAAUAGUUUUUGCCAUUUUAAAAACAGUAUUGUAUGCUGAUUUAUGGUUGAUGGUCUCAAGCAAUCUGUUUUCUGUUUGUGUGCCUACUCCUUAUUCAUGUUUUUGAAGCAAAGUUUCACAUCCUAUCUUGAGUAAUCUAGAUUUAAUGGUGUUCAUUUAGUUGAAUGAAUUUAGAACUACAGUGCAAAAUGACUCAGUGAAUUGUUUCUUGUUUCAUUUCUAGUUUGUGGAGAUUCUUUUUUAUUUUUUCCAUUAGUGAAACUUUAUUGUCACUUCUAUGUGUUUUCUUGGAAUGUCAGUUCCUGAAAUUUACUUUUCAAUCGAUGAUUUUUUAUUUAUUUUAAAAUACACUUUUGCAUCUCUACAGAAAUAGUAGUGGAAGGAGAACAAUGACCCAGAAAUAUGUAGCUUGACUGCAUUUAGCUGAGGAACCGAUCUUGAGUGACGUGGAUAUUAGAGACACCAUCAUGCAGUUUUAGUGUCCUUCUAGAUUGUCUUUCAGUUUUUGCUUUUGCUUCCAAGUGAAUCCAGUAAGUUUUGAAGGUCUACCCUGGGAUGUUGUAUAGUCCCAAAAAAUGGCAAAGCCAUUUGAAACUUUUGCACAUUUACUUAAAGUGGAGUUUGUAAAUAUUUAUCAAAAGAACCCUUUUUCACUUUGCUUCUGAUUUUCUUCUGUUUCUUUGUUCAUUUAAAGCUUGAAGCUAUGAUUCCUCAUAAAUUGUCAUGUCUUGCAAGACUUGAAAAGGCUGCACCUCCUUGAAGGGUGAAAGUAUAAGGAUGUAAACUGCCAUAAAGCAUCGACGUCUACAUAUCUCUGUAUAGCUAUGAUGACUUGCAUAUAUGUGCAACUGAUGUUUCAAAAAUCCUCUUAUUAAGAAAAAGUGUGAAGAUCACAAGGGCCUUCAAAGCCACUUUGGUUCUCUUGCCUUCCUUUUGCCCUACUUGUUGCAUAUUAGUUUUCUAUUGAAAGCAAUUAACCUGUGCUGGUACCUGUGUCAGGUUGGUGUGCUGUAUAAAAUAAGUGUAUGGAAACAUAACCAGGGUCUGUAAUUCUAUUCUUAUGCUAAUUUUAACUUUAGAUGUGAUCUCUGUUUCAGAGCCUUCACACAAGCAAAAAGAGAUUUUAGAGAAAGAAAAAAAUGGAAAAGGUCAUGCCACAUUCUUAGUGGAAAAGACAAAUCUUGCGUGUUCAAAAUGGAAUUGGAAUGCAAAUUUCAGUGUGAGUGUUGGAUUGUGAAGAGCUGAAAUUUUUUUUGUUGUUUUCAAAGUAUUUGGAACUUCAGCUGAAAAUGUCUACUUCGAUACUUUCUUUUCUACUACUAGAUGCAGUAGCAAAAUACUGUAUCAAAAUAUUAUUUUUUGUUUUAAAUUGCAUGUGAACUUGUGAGUGAUCAAAUUACAGUUGUAGUGCAGUUAGAUUAGCCAGUUUUAUUAGUAGCACAUUUCCCAUUCAUCUUUGUUUAUGAUGACUCUGCGUAAGUGUCCUUAUCCAUUAUGUUAUCUAAUUAAACACUAACGUAUUGUGAAUAUUA